UAACCAUAGAGUUUGAUCCUGGCUCAGUAAGUCGUAACAAGGUAACCAUAGAGUUUGAUCCUGGCUCAGAUUGAACGCUGGCGGCAGGCCUAACACAUGCAAGUCGAGCGUGAAAGGGCUUCGGCCUGAGUAAAGCGGCGAACGGGUGAGUAACGCGUGGGAAUCUGCCUGGUAAUGGGGGACAACAUCUCGAAAGGGAUGCUAAUACCGCAUACGUCCUACGGGAGAAAGCAGGGGAUCAUUUGACCUUGCGCUAAUAGAUGAGCCUAAGUCGGAUUAGCUAGUUGGUGGGGUAAAGGCCUACCAAGGCGACGAUCUGUAGCGGGUCUGGGAGGAUGAUCCGCCACACUGGGACUGAGACACGGCCCAGACUCCUACGGGAGGCAGCAGUGGGGAAUAUUGGACAAUGGGGGGAACCUUGAUCCAGCCAUGCCGCGUGUGUGAAGAAGGCCUUUUGGUUGUAAAGCACUUUAAGCGAGGAGGAGGCUCUCUUGGUUAAUACCUGAGAAGAGUGGACGUUACUCGCAGAAUAAGCACCGGCUAACUCUGUGCCAGCAGCCGCGGUAAUACAGAGGGUGCGAGCGUUAAUCGGAUUUACUGGGCGUAAAGCGCGCGUAGGUGGCUAAUUAAGUCAAAUGUGAAAUCCCCGAGCUUAACUUGGGAAUUGCAUUCGAUACUGGUUGGCUAGAGUAUGGGAGAGGAUGGUAGAAUUCCAGGUGUAGCGGUGAAAUGCGUAGAGAUCUGGAGGAAUACCGAUGGCGAAGGCAGCCAUCUGGCCUAAUACUGACACUGAGGUGCGAAAGCAUGGGGAGCAAACAGGAUUAGAUACCCUGGUAGUCCAUGCCGUAAACGAUGUCUAC
rnacentral:rRNA from 1 species